ensembl:rRNA 5S_rRNA 5S ribosomal RNA
UGCCCUGAACGCUCCCAAUCUCAUCUGAUCUCAGAAGCUAAGCAGGGUAA